GUGGGGAAUAUUGGACAAUGGGCGAAAGCCUGAUCCAGCCAUGCCGCGUGAGUGAUGAAGGCCCUAGGGUUGUAAAGCUCUUUCACCGGUGAAGAUAAUGACGGUAACCGGAGAAUAAGCCCCGGCUAACUUCGUGCCAGCAGCCGCGGUAAUACGAAGGGGGCUAGCGUUGUUCGGAAUUACUGGGCGUAAAGCGCACGUAGGCGGAUUGUUAAGUGAGGGGUGAAAUCCCAGGGCUCAACCCUGGAACUGCCUUUCAUACUGGCAAUCUCGAGUCCGGAAGAGGUGAGUGGAAUUCCGAGUGUAGAGGUGAAAUUCGUAGAUAUUCGGAGGAACACCAGUGGCGAAGGCGGCUCACUGGUCCGGUACUGACGCUGAGGUGCGAAAGCGUGGGGAGCGAACAGGAUUAGAUACCCUUGUAGUCC
rnacentral:rRNA from 1 species